UGAAGGCAAUCCAAACAUCCUAUCAGACAUCCCAACAAUAAGUCACAGACCCCCCAUAUCAGGCGGUGUGAAAAGACGUGUGUAUGUGUGUGUGUGUGUGUGAGAGAGAGAGAGAGAGAGAGAGAGAGACUCACUGUAAAUUGCCAGUAUUUUUUAUAUGCGCUUUAUUUAUAUUCUCUCCUCUCCAUGUUUGUAUUCGGACACUCAGUGUUAUAAGUAAUGUUUGUUAAUCACAGUUCUGUUCCAUGGAAUGCUUUGGGAAUUCUCUACAUGUUUACGGUCACGCCAGUAAAGCUUACUGAACUGAACUGAGUUCAAAACCAGCAGCUGGAACUCCUCCUUUCCUUCUCUGGAUAUCAGUUCAAAGUGAAAGUCAGCAGGUCGUUUCGGGGAAACACAUCGCAGAUCAAGCUAGGUUCAUGCUAUAAAAACAUUUGACUUUUUGAUAUAAUGUCGGAGGAGUGUGAGAAACUCAGAAUCUCUGAAAUGAGUCUACAGGAGGAGCAGCACAAGACACAAAGCAUCGUGGAAAAGAUGUUACUGUGUUUCAGAAGGGGAAAAUUAUUGGUCCGUAUCAAGCAACAACAACAACAACAAAAAAAAACAACUAGGGAGAUUGUUGAAAUUCCUGGAAUUGAGUUCAGAACUGUCUAACACAUUAUUAAAACCUGGAAGGAGAGUGGUGAAUUGUAAACUUUGAGGAAGAAAUGUGGUCGGAAUAGUGAAUGUUUGAUAUCUUGAAUGAUUGUGGUCUGAGAUCUUUAAAACGGUUGGUCACAUCAUAAACUCAUCAUGUUUAAUUCUGAAAGUAAGAGCAUUUCCACAUGCACUAACCCAACUUUCAGGAUUUGGACUAAACAGCUGUGUGGCCUGUGAGGCUAAUCAUAUAUUUAAAAAGAGUUAUAUUAUCUAGUAAGCAUAAAGAUUGGACUGUGGAGCAAUGCAAAAGGUCAUGUGGUCUGAUGAGUCCAGAUUUGAGUCCAGAUGUUUUAUAGCAAAUAAUCUGAAUGAAAUGUGACCAUCUUUUUCACACAGAGUGUAAGUGCAGACAGCGUGUCUAGAUAUUUCUCCUUUUUCCAGUGUCUUUUGGGAUAGUUUCAGGUCUUGUCUGUGGUUUUUGCGACACAGGUGGGAUGUAGUAAAAUAUGUGUGCUUUGUUUUGUUUCCCUGUGUCGGUGCAAUGCUAGUAUCAUAUAAACAAUUUUCUGUGCAGCUACAGGUUAUAAAAUCAUGACAUCUUUGUAGAUUAUGAUUUUGAAUGAAGUGCACAAUGUAUAUAAAGAGUGCAUUCAUGAUUUCAGUGGAUUUCUUUGGAGUUAAUGCUUCACUCACAAAGUCCUUUGCAUCAAAUCACUGAGGAAGUUUUGUUUGUAUGGAUUUUUAAAGGUGUUAUCAGAGGGGAAUCUAAAAGCCUCAUCACUCUGUUUUAUAAAUAAAUUGCUAAAACACAUUUCU